GUAACGCGUGGGUAACCUGCCUCAUACAGGGGGAGUAACAGUUAGAAAUGACUGCUAAUACCGCAUAAGCGCACAGUGCUGCAUGGCACAGUGUGAAAAACUCCGGUGGUAUGAGAUGGACCCGCGUCUGAUUAGCUAGUUGGUGGGGUAACGGCCUACCAAGGCGACGAUCAGUAGCCGGCCUGAGAGGGUGAACGGCCACAUUGGGACUGAGACACGGCCCAAACUCCUACGGGAGGCAGCAUG
rnacentral:rRNA from 1 species